rnacentral:rRNA from 1 species
AAUCAACGCUGGCGGCGUGCCUCAGACAUGCAAGUCGAACGCGAAAGUUCCCUUCGGGGGAUGAGUAGAGUGGCGCACGGGUGAGUAACACGUAGGUAAUCUACCUUCGGAUGGGGAAUAACAACCGGAAACGGUUGCUAAUACCGCAUAAUGCAGCGGCACCUAAUGGUGACAGUUGUUAAAGCGGGGGAUCGAAAGACCUCGCGUCUGAAGAGGAGCCUGCGGCGGAUUAGCAGUUGGUAGGGUAACGGCCUACCAAGGCUACGAUCCGUAGCCGGCCUGAGAGGGGCGGUCGGCCACACUGACACUGACAUACGGGUCAGACUCCUACGGGAGGCAGCAGUCGGGAAUUUUGGGCAAUGGGUGAAAGCCUGACCCAGCAACGCCGCGUGAAGGAUGAAAUCCCUCGGGAUGUAAACUUCGCAAGAACGGGAAGAAUAAGUAGGGGACAAUACCCCCUAUGAUGACGGUACCGUUUGUAAGCUCCGCUAACUCCGUGCCAGCCGCGCAGU